CUAGUUGCGAGGUUGAGUGCACGCGGUUUGUCAUUCUUCCUGCAAACAUAUCCCGUGUGACUUUGAAGUUCUGUAAUCUACGGUUCUUCUCAGGAAGAAAGUGCCACCAGCUUCCUGCGAUACGAACCGUAGAUAGACGUAAGAAGCGAUGUUCACACCGUUGGUCAUAUAAUCAACUGUGAUAAUCUUUGUGAGGUGGCUCUGUUCUACAACACCGGUCCGGUACCGUCAAUAACGCAUCUUGUGGUCUUCUGAAGUUUCCACAGAAAAUCUAAAAGUUAGUAGUUCGUAAUAAGAAGCACCUUCAAGAUCCUACACCUGGGGAAUAGUGUAAUAGCACUAUGUGCUACAGGUGUUUUGCCGGACUUGCUGCAAAAUGCAGCGUAGCAGCCUAGUGGUACGGUGGUAGGUCCGCGGUUCAAAUCCCGGCCGAGAUGUAGGUACACCUCUGCACGUUGCGGCAGCCAUACCAACACCGUUGGUUGUCGUGACAGAAGUCUUUCUCACCUUUGGGAACGGCUAGCAACCACCCAAAGGGAAUGUUUAUGCUCAUAGUUGUCCAGCCAAGUCUGGAUGAAAAACAGGCUAAUAGCCUAUGCUGUAUAAGCGACCAUACGGCCAAGAGAGAGAUGUUUUUUUUUAGGUUUAAACUUUUGCAAUAUUAUCACAAGGAUCAAGAAGUCCGUAAUGGAACUGAAGAAUGAAGUUCACAACACCGCCAAACUUAGGAUUUCAAGUUCUUAUUUUACUGUCAAUUUAAUUGAAUCUAAAAAUAGCGCAAGACUUUUGUUUUAAAAUUAGGGUGUCAUGUGGAUACCAUUUGAUUCAGUUGCGAAACACAGUGCAAAACUGCAACGCAUUUUUUCUCGAUAUUUCUUUGACGCGGUUUUGGUUAAUCAAAUGAGCCUUAGAUUUGCAUUUUACAAGAUGAAACAUUUCAUCAAAUUUUCGCGAUUUUCCGUUCCGUAUUUCUUUCUGUUUUGCCAUGUUACAGUUAAUGGUAAAUUUUAUUUGUUGCAUAUGAAAACAUGUUCGUAGCAGUUCAUUGCGACCUGAUAAAUUCCUUAAUCUUGGGUAAAUUGUUAAUUCGCAUUAACUCUAUUAAUUUAUUUAGCGCACUCCCAAAGAACGUCAAUGUAAGUUGUCAAUUCAAAAUAACACUUUACACUUUAUCGAGAAGUUUAUUUAGGUAGCCAUUUACUGCAGUGGACAUGUUUUCAUAUGUUACAAAUACCAUUUAACAUUAACUGCAACAUGGCAGUACAAAAUUGACUCAUAAAGUGCCGGGAAUGGAAGUGUAUUUUUGUAAAUAUGUGCUUUCCACAAUUUGUGGAAACGUGUUGUGCGCUUUAGUACUUUUUGGAUGGAAGAACAAAGAAGAAAGGAACAUCAAGUAAAAAUUUACUUUUACUUAACUUUUAUUUAAGUUUGUUACAGGUACAAUCUUAUUGUUUUUAUAAUAAUUUGAAAUGAUCCAAUUAAUGGAGGAUUACUUGAUCUUACAUCUUACAUUUACAGGAUUAGCCAUGUUAAACGCAAAUAUUGAAUAGUAUAUGUAGUAUAGGUAUUUUAUGUGUGUUCUUUUAUUUAGUUAUAGUAAAUGCAACAGAGAGAACUAAUUAGCAGCCACCCAGCGAGAACAACAGCCAGGAGUGGCUGGGAUUUUAAUUUUUUUUGCGGCGUGUCGUUCUAGGGGACGAAAGAAAGAUUGAAAGUAAUGAAUUUGUUUAUCAUUUUCAUAAUUAAUUUAUGUGACUAGCACACGGUAAACCUGCAAAAAUGUUAUUUUUGUGCUUCGAUGUGCUAAUUGUUGUUUUCGGUUGUUUUAGGUGUCUAGCGGGCGAACGAAACUACCACCAUUCUGUCAUUGUAAGUAUUGAUUUUUUACAAUUUUCAUUUAUAACAUUUGGGUUUAAUACAAGGGGAAGCCAUUAAAUAAAAGUGGUAUUUUACUCCAAUACGUUUAUUAAAGUAUUUUCUUCAAAAUAAAUUUUUUCUUGAAAUGUUAAAUUGGGUUGCGAUAUAUUUGUUAUCGUAUUUUUGCCGUAUGAAGAUAGAAGGUUGCCCCUCUAAUUGCGGGUUGCUUGUCAAUUCUCUUUCCUGCAGUCCGACUUAGUCGGCUGUGCACUGCCGCGUGGUGCGCUCGUGUUUUGAUCAUUAAUCACAUAUUGUGACAAUUUUUCGUAUUUCUUAAUAUUCUGUAGUAAUACAGGAAUCGGUUGACAAUCAGAGACAUAGCCCCGUGUAGCGCCCAACGAAUCAUUAGUAAUUCUUCAAGGUGCGCGCGUGGUGUCCAUCGGAUAUGUUUCGGUGCCUAUGGAUACUUACUGGAGUUGAUUUUAAAUUUAUUUGUUUAACGUGACUUAAACAUCCGCGUGGAAUAGUAAAGAAGUGCGUAUCAUCAAUGCGCUUUAGCUUUGUAUGGACGAAAGAACGAAGACGUAUGUAAUAUCAAGUAAAAUUUUACUUUUAUUUAAUUUAAUUCUACCAGUAUAUUUGUUCUGUGCGUGUCAUCCUCUUGAGCAUAUUUCCUUGAUUGCUGUUUAUGUUAUGUAAUUGUGUAUGUAGAACUUGAGAACUCCUUUUAUUGUGUAUAUGACUUUGCUCGUGACCGGACUUUUGCCCCCAAGACGAUCGCUCACACGACAACUGCUCACAGACAACUGCCCACAGUCAUAACUGCGCACACGGACAGUUGCUCACAGGGUUUUUGCUCACAUUGAAAAUUGCUCACAGGACUUUUGCUCACACGGACAAUUGCUCACUAUUUAAUUUUUUUAACUUUUUUUUUAACAAUGAAUAUUAAUUAUGAAAUAAUUUAUACACAAAUAUAUAACAAUUAAGAGGCCUCGCGUGCACGCUAAUAGUGUUUGAUUUUUCAAAUAAACUAUUUGUUCAUACUAUCUUAAUUAAUUAGCAAUAAAUAUACCUCUUUGAAGUUUCACU